UACGUAGGGUGCGAGCGUUGUCCGGAAUUACUGGGCGUAAAGAGCUCGUAGGUGGUUUGUCGCGUUGUUCGUGAAAUCUCACGGCUUAACUGUGAGCGUGCGGGCGAUACGGGCAGACUAGAGUUCGGUAGGGGAGACUGGAAUUCCUGGUGUAGCGGUGAAAUGCGCAGAUAUCAGGAGGAACACCGGUGGCGAAGGCGGGUCUCUGGGCCGAAACUGACGCUGAGGAGCGAAAGCGUGGGGAGCAAACAGG
rnacentral:rRNA from 1 species